AGCGGAGCGGGCCAGCCUUUUGGUUUACAAUGAAUGAACAAAAAGUCGUGCAGCACACUAAUUAACACCUUUUGUACUGUCAUAUUAAUUCAUUAGGAAAGUAUUUGCUAUAAAAACCGUCUAGAUUCUCUUGAUAAUCAUUCAGUUUUCUUUGCAAAUUAUAGCAAAACAAACCAACUCCAAAAAGUCCAAUAUGAAAUUCUUUGCAACCAUUGCUGUAGCCGUUAUGGGUGUUUUGGCAAUUGCUUCUGCUAAUCCUGAACCCAUCUUACCCGUAGUUACCGGUUUGACCGAGGGAAUGGGAAUCGGAAAGUGAGAAAAUGAAUGGUUUUGAAAAAUUUUAACUCAUCACAAAAGCUAUUGGAAUACACUAGGACUAAUCUGAAUAUUUUAAUAAAAGCCCUAUAAUAAAAAUAAA